rnacentral:rRNA from 1 species
CCUACGGGAGGCUGCAGUGGGGAAUAUUGCACAAUGGGCGAAAGCCUGAUGCAGCAACGCCGCGUGAAGGAAGAAGGGUUUCGGCUCGUAAACUUCUAUCAACAGGGACGAAAGAAAUGACGGUACCCGAAUAAGAAGCCCCGGCUAACUACGUGCCAGCAGCCGCGGUAAUACGUAGGGGGCAAGCGUUAUCCGGAAUUACUGGGUGUAAAGGGUGAGUAGGCGGCAUGGUAAGCCAGAUGUGAAAGCCUUGGGCUUAACCCGGGGAUUGCAUUUGGAACUGUGAAGCUAGAGUGCAGGAGAGGAAAGCGGAAUUCCUAGUGUAGCGGUGAAAUGCGUAGAUAUUAGGAGGAACACCAGUGGCGAAGGCGGCUUUCUGGACUGUAACUGACGCUGAGGCACGAAAGCGUGGGGAGCAAACAGGAUUAGAUACCCCAGUAGUC